UAGGGAAUCUUCCGCAAUGGACGAAAGUCUGACGGAGCAACGCCGCGUGAGUGAAGAAGGAUUUCGGUUCGUAAAACUCUGUUGUUAGGGAAGAAAAAAUGUAUAGUAACUAUAUACAAAAGAGACGGUACCUAACCAGAAAGCCACGGCUAACUACGUGCCAGCAGCCGCGGUAAUACGUAGGUGGCAAGCGUUGUCCGGAAUUCUUGGGCGUAAAGCGCGCGCAGGUGGUUUAGAAAGUCUGAUGUGAAAGCCCGCGGCUCAACCGUGGAGGGUCAUUGGAAACUAAUAAACUUGAGUGCAGGAGAGAAAAGUGGAAUUCCUAGUGGAGCGGUGAAAUGCGUAGAGAUUAGGAGGAAAACCGGUGGCGAAAGCGGCUUUUUGGCCUGCAACUGACACUGAGGCGCGAAAGCGUGGGGAGCAAACAGG
rnacentral:rRNA from 1 species